rnacentral:rRNA from 1 species
GAUUAAGUUAUUAAGGGCGCACGGUGGAUGCCUUGGCACUAGAAGCCGAUGAAGGACGUUACUAACGACGACAUGCUUUGGGGAGCUGUAAGUAAGCUUUGAUCCAGAGAUUUCCGAAUGGGGAAACCCAGCAUGAGUUAUGUCAUGUUAUCGAUAUGUGAAUACAUAGCAUAUCAGAAGGCACACCCGGAGAACUGAAACAUCUUAGUACCCGGAGGAAGAGAAAGAAAAUUCGAUUCCCUUAGUAGCGGCGAGCGAAACGGGAAGAGCCCAAACCAACAAGCUUGCUUGUUGGGGUUGUAGGACACUCUAUACGGAGUUACAAAGGACGACAUUAGACGAAUCAUCUGGAAAGAUGAAUCAAAGAAGGUAAUAAUCCUGUAGUCGAAAAUGUUGUCUCUCUUGAGUGGAUCCUGAGUACGACGGAGCACGUGAAAUUCCGUCGGAAUCUGGGAGGACCAUCUCCUAAGGCUAAAUACUCUCUAGUGACCGAUAGUGAACCAGUACCGUGAGGGAAAGGUGAAAAGCACCCCGGAAGGGGAGUGAAAUAGAACCUGAAACCGUGUGCUUACAAGUAGUCAGAGCCCGUUAAUGGGUGAUGGCGUGCCUUUUGUAGAAUGAACCGGCGAGUUACGAUUUGAUGCAAGGUUAAGCAGUAAAUGUGGAGCCGUAGCGAAAGCGAGUCUGAAUAGGGCGUUUAGUAUUUGGUCGUAGACCCGAAACCAGGUGAUCUACCCUUGGUCAGGUUGAAGUUCAGGUAACACUGAAUGGAGGACCGAACCGACUUACGUUGAAAAGUGAGCGGAUGAACUGAGGGUAGCGGAGAAAUUCCAAUCGAACCUGGAGAUAGCUGGUUCUCUCCGAAAUAGCUUUAGGGCUAGCCUCAAGUGAUGAUUAUUGGAGGUAGAGCACUGUUUGGACGAGGGGCCCCUCUCGGGUUACCGAAUUCAGACAAACUCCGAAUGCCAAUUAAUUUAACUUGGGAGUCAGAACAUGGGUGAUAAGGUCCGUGUUCGAAAGGGAAACAGCCCAGACCACCAGCUAAGGUCCCAAAAUAUAUGUUAAGUGGAAAAGGAUGUGGCGUUGCCCAGACAACUAGGAUGUUGGCUUAGAAGCAGCCAUCAUUUAAAGAGUGCGUAAUAGCUCACUAGUCGAGUGACACUGCGCCGAAAAUGUACCGGGGCUAAACAUAUUACCGAAGCUGUGGAUUGUCCUUUGGACAAUGGUAGGAGAGCGUUCUAAGGGCGUUGAAGCAUGAUCGUAAGGACAUGUGG